GCGCAGGCAAGAAAAAAAAAAAAACAGAAAACAGAACAAGCUAUACAUGCCUUGGUCUCACCUUUGUACGUCUCUACCUCCU
rnacentral:ribozyme from 14 species